GAUUGAACGCUGGCGGAAUGCCUAACACAUGCAAGUCGAACGAGUUGUGUAGCAAUACAUGACUAGUGGCGGACGGGUGAGGAACACAUAGGAAUCUACCCUUGUAGUGGGGAAUAACCCGGGGAAACCCGGACUAAUGCCGCAUACGCACUAAGGUGGAAAGCGGGGGGAUCGUAAGACCUCGCGCUAUAGGAUGAGCCUAUGUCGGAUUAGCUAGUUGGUAGGGUAACGGCCUACCAAGGCGACGAUCCGUAGCUGGUCUGAGAGGACGAUCAGCCACACUGGAACUGAGACACGGUCCAGACUCCUACGGGAGGCAGCAGUGGGGAAUAUUGGACAAGUGGGGGAAACCCUGAUCCAGCAAUUCCGCGUGGGUG
rnacentral:rRNA from 1 species